GGUGUGACGAGCAGUCGGCUCCCCCGGCCGUCGCCGCUGUCCUGCCUCCAGCGGUUCCCCAUCCUCGGCUCUGCGGACCCCUGCGCUGCCGGGAGCGCCCCGGGAUCGGGGAGCGCGAAAAGACGGAACACUCCUGCAGCGGCGCUCGGUGUGGCCGGCGGGAGCGGAGAUGCAGGGAACGGGCCGUGUCGGCAUGUGGGUGCGGAUAGUUGGUGGUGAAGUUGUUCAGGAGAGAUGGCGUGUUCCCCUCUCUGUUCUCUUGCUCUUCUCCAAAGUAAAUAAGUGCUAGCGGACUCGUACCAAGUUAGAGACGCAUCAUCCCGGCCGCUGACGUCUUGAUACCCGGUCAGUGACUAACUGAACUGCUAUUGCCAAGGGUGUGUUAAUAGAAGAAACUCUGCCUAGUAUUGCCCUGGAUGAGUCACAUUUAAAGAGAGACUCUCGAGUCUGCUGAAGGAAAAGCAGGAACGAGCCUCACUUUCCUUUUUUGUUGCUGGUUUUUUCUUUCCAUCCCACCCCUCACCUUUGCUCACUGUUUACUACUUCUUGUGCCAGGGCUCUGCUGGCACUCCAGUCCUGGCUGAGCGUUUGCAGAGCUGCCUUGCCCGAUGUGGUGUGAUGUCACGCAGGGGACUCUGACUUCAUGGCCCCGAGGAACAGGAAGGCGAGCCAGGCAGGGACUUUUCCAGCCACCCAGGGUCGUUGUCGUUAAAAACGGAGGAAGUGACGAAGCAGAUGGCUUCUCCUACAAAGUUAUCUCUUGCGAUUUUAUGCUGGUGAAGAAGCUGGGUAGUUGAAAAGUGUAUUUUCUGAAGAGCAGCACAGCUUCAUUGUCAGCUGAAGUUCCUAAUAACCAGCUAGGAUUCACCUCAGCUGCUGAGGUUUCCUGAAAGCACCCAGGUAUUCCCCCUACUCUUGGGGCUGCUCUCAUGUAGCCCUGGGCUGUAACAAAGGCUUGAUCUGAAGGAAUUAGCAGUGCUCUGGUCAAUAAGUAGUUAAUUGCACAGAAGGCAGAGCAAGGUCCUCUGUCAGUAGUGUCUCUCUAAGAAGUUUUGCCUGUCCCUAUCUCUCCUUCAUGCUCUUUGUAAUUUCUGCCUCUGGGUCCCAGAGGACCAUCUGCUCUUCACAAGAAAACUCAGCUCCCUCUGUGCUCUGUUUUUCCAUAGUGCUCAAACACCCUGGGAAGAUGGGAAAACCAACUGAAUUUACCCAAGAUGCUUUCAUGUUUGUUCAGAAGCCGAAUGGGCCUUUUUUUGGUGGGGGGGGAGAGGGGGCAGGGCUCAGACAAGUUCAUGGCUGUCUCAGCCCCGGAUUGCUUUUUUCUUCCCUAGCUGCACCUAGAGCAUCUUCCCACUGCUGGUCCCAAGCAGGCAGGAGCACAGUGUAGCCACAUGGAGAGAGGGAAACCUGGUGCUAAAUCCACCCAUGUACGAGUGUGUCUGAGAGCUGAAACUGAAGGCCAGAGUCCCCUGCCAACCCAUUUUAUUGGUGACCAUGCAAGUAACAAACCUGUGUCUGAAAAUGAAGAUGCUUUGUUUCUCUUUGAAUAAACAGCCCUGCGUCUGGGACUGUGCUGGCUGAUGACUUAACCCCGGGAGAUGCCGCUGGCAGAAGCAGCUCUGCAGGUCGCCUGGCAAGACCUGUCCCAGUUCCCCUGAGCAGCACUAUGGUAUGAAUGCUUCUGACUUCCUGCUACCAAUGGAACCAUCCUGUUCAGCUCCACUCUUCAUGGAGGGAAGGGAACAGGCCUUACCCUUCAAGUACCACGCUAAGAAGCGCCUGUUGUGUCCUGUCCAUAACAUGUCCCAGUGUCAGGGCAAGGUAGAAUGCAGUCAGUCUGCACUCUGAGAUGGAGAAGGAAAAAUCAUCAUAGGAGAGCAGAGAAUGCUCCCUGCAUGGACACACACACCGGUUCAAACAGCUCUUCUUCAUCUACAGUGAACUAUGCUAGUAGAAUCUGUGCAGCCAGGAGCAAGCAGCAGAGCAUCUGUACACCACUUGGGGAGCAAAACCAACAGGCAUUUUCUCCUCCAGACAUUCACACCUUUCCUUAUGUAACUGGUGCUGAAGUGUGUACUUUAAAAGCUGCUUGCCAAAUCCAGGGGCUGGGAGGCAGCACAAAUGCUUCUAGCACUCUAGCUGAAAUUGAGGGGGAAAAAAAAUCCAAACCCAAACACCCAGGAACUUGUAGGAAUACGUAACCGCAACCUGGGGAUGGUUCAAGUGUCUGCAGCAGUGUUACCCUGAAGAAACUGCAUUGGCCUAGGGCAGUGCUGGCACCCAGACCACCAUCUGAUAAGGAUGGUGAGGAGCUGACAGUCCAGAAUAGAGGAGCAAGGAGCUGGGGGUUAUUUUUCUUAUGCAAUAUUAAAAAAAAAAAAAACCCUAAAAAAAAAUAAAAAAUCAGGUAGUGCAGCCAGGAAAAGGGUGCCAGGGAGACUGGAGGUGGCUGAAAUGCUCUUCUGAAUGGUGCCUUGUGUUGACCGAACCUGCAGAUUUAUUAAAAAAAAAACAAAAAACAAAAAUGUGGGGCUGCUCACCAGUGAAAAACAGAUAUAUCCUUUGCUUUGUGAUUUUUUGGUGACACUGGAGCUAGCCAGGAGAAACAUCUGAGGAGAGAGAAGCUCUGAAGUCCAUUCCUGCCCACUCCAGGGCAGGAAGAAGCUGCCCACAGUGCCUGAGGGACAUGGGGACAUGAGUCCCUGCACAGCCAGGCACAGCAUCCUCGAGCCACCCUGCACACUUGGAUCCCUGCCUUGGCCCGUGAGCCAGUUGUUCCCUCUCCAGUACGCGCAGUACGCUGGGCUUUUGGUUUGUUUUUUAAGGGAAAAAACAAUAAUUUAUUUGCUUUGUUUUAAUCUCAUAACAAUGGGUAAUGGUAAUUUCCUCCUACCACUCCGUAGUGGCCUAGAAAAGGACAGCAUCAUCUCCACUGUAGCAAGAAGGCUUGUCCCAGGGCAUAAAAUUUUAAUUAGGAACAAUCACGCAGCCUUGAAAUGGGAAUUGCGAGCAGCAAAAAAGUCAAACCAUCAAUAAAAUAUUCAAUGGCAGAAAUGUAUUAUUGACACAGACUUUAGAGCAGAUAAAAGCCGGAAGGCGGGGGAGCGGGUAUCGAGCCUCGCUGCGUUAAAUAACCGGCGGGGACCCGCGCGCUCGCCCGGCCAGCGCAGGCCCCCCGAGCCGGCAGGAAUAUAGGUCACCCUAGGCUGGGGAGCUCCUGAGGUAACACAUGAGUUUGAUUACCACCUCUCCCUCACGUGCACCACAGCGGGGACAGAGGUGUUAAUCAAAGUGAUUUAUUACCUCACGGAACACUGCUGGCCAAGGCAGCAGCUGGGUGAUGGGUUGUAGGACACAAAAUGAAGAAAAUCUGCAAAGAGCCACAGUCUUGGGCUGAAAGCAGUUAGCCCCUGGUCACGGUGCUCUCGCUAACCCCAUGCCUGGUUAUCAGACCUCAGUGGGGGACACAGUUGAAUUACUCUGUUUUCCACCCAUGGAACAGUUCCAAACCCUGCAUGCCAGCCAAGGGGCAUCAGCUGAAGAGCCAAAAUCUGCUGUCAUACAUAAUAUUUUAAAUCCUUAUUUUCCACACCCUCCCACACCUCCCUCCAGGAAAGACUAGUGCUGUUUUGGCCUGUUAUGAUUAUGACUGAACCCGCAAAACCAAUAAAUAAUAUACAAUUGUAACAGAGGGGGAAAAAAUCCCCCACAGACAUUCAAAGUACUUUUCUGCCCCCAUUUGGAAGUACCAUAAGUGAUGACCCUGUUCUCUUUAUUCCUGUUUAUUUUGCAGAAGGCAAGGCUACAAAUGUAGCCCCAAAAAUGAAAGAUCCAGUUUUAAACCUGCAGAGGUCAUUUUUUUAGGUUAUGUAGAAGGAGGAUGUCCCAUAGCACAUUGAAAUCCAGCAACAUCCAAGGCAAGUGGGUUUUCUAAACCUGCUUUCCCUCCUUCCAGGCAGCACAGAAAUGCUCUUUACAAUGUCCAUCACCCACUUCUUAGCAAGGCAGAAUCUUUAAAAGCAAGAGUCCAAAAAAAAA